CGGGGCGUGGCGCAGUCUGGUAGCGCACUACAAUGGGGUUGUAGGGGUCGGAGGUUCAAAUCCUCUCGCCCCGACCA
rnacentral:tRNA from 1 species